CUUGCCAAGGGUCACUCUACAGAAAAGCAUUUGUCUGGAAAAAGAAAAAAGGAAAGCAACACCUUGGUGGAGGUUUUAAAUCCCAGAAUGAUGUAACAGUGACCUUAAGAGGAUGAAGUUUCCUUCUGGACAUAGGGAAUCUGUCCUAGGACUGCUGAUGGCUAUAGUAUUUUUCACAACGUAACUGAGAGAGCAAAAGCACUUCUAACCAACAGAGAAAUGAUAAACAUGGAGGCAAACAAUGGAGAAAGACAGGAGGCUUGUAACAGCAAAGUACAUGGAAAAGGACUGAUCUGACAAAGGUACAAGAUGAGAUGUAGAGUCAGUUAAGAAUCUGAGUGAAGGAGAUCAUCUAGGAUUAUACGGGUAGGCCUUAACCUCCCAGCAAGUGUCCUUACAGAAGACACACAGAAGAGAAGACGGACACAGAGAAGGCGAGGUGAAGAUGGAGCCAGAGACUGGAACGAUGUGACCACAAGCCUAAGGGGCCUAGAAGCCAGCAGAAAUGGAACAGAUGCUCCCUAGAAACUCUACAGGGCAUGCAGCGCUGCCGACACCUUGAUUUUGAACUUUAGGCCUCCAGAACUGUGACGGAAAAAAUUUGUGUUGUUUAAGCCACAGGUCUGUGGUAAUUUGUGAUGGCAGCCCUAUGAGUCUAAUACAUUGA